UAGCUCAGAUGGUAAAGCAUCUGCCUACAAUGCAGGAGACCAGGGUUCGAUCCCUG
rnacentral:tRNA from 1 species